UAAGAGGUCCCGCCUGCCCUGUGACUAUUAGUUUAACGGCCGCGGUAUUUUGACCGUGCGAAGGUAGCGCAAUCACUUGUCUUUUAAAUGGAGACCUGUAUGAAUGGCACGACGAGGGCUUAGCUGUCUCCUUUUUCAGGUCAAUGAAAUUGAUCUCCCCGUGCAGAAGCGGGGAUAAAUACAUAAGACGAGAAGACCCUAUGGAGCUUUAGACACCAAGGCAGUUUAUGUUAAAUACCUUCUCACAAGAAGCCAAACAAAAUAAUCCCUGCCCUAAUGUCUUUGGUUGGGGCGACCGCGGGGAAACAAAAAACCCCCAUGUGGAAUGAGAACACCCUCUUACAGCUGAGAGCUCCCGCUCUAAUAAACAGAAUUUCUGACCAAUCAGAUCCGGCAACGCCGAUCAACGGACCGAGUUACCCUAGGGAUAACAGCGCAAUCCCCUUUUAGAGCCCAUAUCGACAAGGGGGUUUACGACCUCGAUGUUGGAUCAGGACAUCCUAAUGGUGCAGCCGCUAUUAAGGGUUCGUUUGUUCAACG
rnacentral:rRNA from 1 species